rnacentral:lncRNA from 1 species
CCUCAUUCUCUGUGUUAUGAAUUGGGUACCAUCAAAGGUGAAGUCCCCCUUUUGAAUAAGAAAUUAUUCCUCCUAAACUCCAGUGACUAAACACUAUCUAACUGGAAGAAAAUCUCAAAAUAGAAAACAGAAAGAGAAAGAACUGGGAAACGGAAAUAAUUCACUGUAGCUUUUUUUGAUCUUAGACCUUCUAGGAAAAACCAGCCCCAUGGGACCAGUGAGAUUCAGAAUUUCACACAUCCCUUUCAUUCUCCUGGAGUAGCUAAGCCUGGAAUCACCACCUGAUGUGUCCAACUCCAUACCUAUGCCUGCUUGGAAUUACCAGGCUUGCAAAAUGGUAUUGGAAAUGUAGGUAGGAGAAGUUAAUACAAAACUGGUGAAUCAGUUGCCUGACAUGCUAUGUCACAAGGCAGGAAUGCCAGUGUUUUCAGCACCUAGUUACUCUACUCCCUAGUGAGGGUAUUUCUUUAACAUUUCACAUUUUCAGACAGAAGCUUUGCCUGCUGUUGUAUCACCUAUGCUGGAACUUCCUCGUGGAUCUGUUUUCUCCUUUGAUGUCUCCAACUCAGUCACCAGAUGGACGAGGGGCACUGCCAGCUGCCUGGGAAGGCUGUCACUGCUGAGGUUGGCACCCCAUGAGCUGCACAGGUUAUAAACAUGCAACCAGCAAUUAUAUCGGGAAGGCAGCAGCGUUGCACCUGGUGAUGUCAUGAAAUAUUGACAACUCUUGCUCUGUUUCCUAAAUAGAAGUGAAAAACUCUGGGGACACUGUUGGCUGUGAUGUUCUGCUAAAUGCAUUUUUGUCAGCACGUGUGAUAUCUACACUAGCCAGCUGGCGCCAGUGGUUGUGUGCAUGCUGCACAGAGCCAGAGCAUGGUGAUCAUAUGCAGGACACAGAGAGCUUGUCCAUGACUGUCCUCCCAACUCCAUGCAAUGCAGCUAGAACUGGACAUGAUUAAUGUUUCUUCUGUGUUUCCUCAGUUCAAAGGGAAGGAACAAGAGGACAACAUUGCAGCUGAGAGCAGUUACUUUGAUAGCAUAAAGCUGAGGAUACCCUA